AUCAAGUCCAAACUUCUUCUUUCUCCUCCUCCUCCUCCUCCUCCUCUCCUCUUCUUCUCUUCAAGGACAGUUUCACACAGAGGGCAUUGCAGUAAUUCAAUCUGAUUCAGAGCAUGGAUGACAAGGGACACCUCGUCACAGUCCCAAAGGGACAGAGAUGGCAAACUAGCCCAGAGCUGGAAAUGGGCACUGCUAGUCCCUGAGGCCACCUGAGCCUCAAGUGACCCUGCUGGAUUCAGGAGUACCCCCAGGCAUAUAUGGCUCGCUGUCCCUUGGCUCCACCCCCACGUGCUUUGAACUUACCCCCGUCAUCCUCAGGGGGUUGGCCAGGACUUGUUAGUGCUUCUAAUUGGGACAGACAGAACUUGGCAGAAGAAAAAGGGAUCUCCGCGAGGCUUCAUGAGAGCACAAAUGGAUGAGCAAGACUCAGCUGACCCUGAAGCAGGAAGAGGCCAUGCUAUCAAAACUGGGAGCAGUGGGAGUUUCUGGGGAAACUCGCUGCAGAAGGUCCUGGGUGAGGAGGACACCCUCUGCUCAGAGGUGCAGAGCCAGCAGUUCAGGCAGCUCUGUUCCCUGGAGACUGAAGGACCCCGAGAAGUUUGCAACCAAUUUUACCGUCUUGAUGGUCAGUGGCUGAAGCCAGAAAGGCAUACAAAAGUUCAGAUGCUGGACCUGGUGAUCAUGGAGCAGUUCCUGGCUGUCCUUCCACUAGAGAUGGA